rnacentral:rRNA from 1 species
AGUUGUAUCCUGGCUCAGAGUGAACGCUGGCGGCGUGCUUAACACAUGCAAGUCGAACGAGAACGGGUUAUAGUUUACUAUAACUGUCAGCUAAGUGGCGCACGGGUGAGUAAUAUAUAGGUAACGUGCCCUAGAGAGGGGGAUAACAUUUGGAAACGAAUGCUAACACCCCAUAUGCCUUUAUCCCAUAAGGGAGCAAGGGAAAUAUUUAUAGCUCUAGGAUCGGCCUGUACGGUAUCAGUUUGUUGGUGAGGUAAUGGCUCACCAAGACUAUGACGCCUAACUGGUUUGAGAGGAUGAUCAGUCACACUGGAACUGAGACACGGUCCAGACUCCUACGGGAGGCAGCAGUGGGGAAUAUUGCACAAUGGACGAAAGUCUGAUGCAGCAACGCCGCGUGGAGGAUGACACAUUUCGGUGCGUAAACUCCUUUUAUAUAGGAAGAUAAUGACGGUACUAUAUGAAUAAGCACCGGCUAACUCCGUGCCAGCAGCCGCGGUAAUACGGAGGGUGCAAGCGUUACUCGGAAUCACUGGGCGUAAAGAGCGUGUAGGCGGGUUUGUAAGUUUGAAGUGAAAUCCAAUGGCUCAACCAUUGAACUGCUUUGAAAACUGCUUACCUAGAAUAUGGGAGAGGUAGAUGGAAUUUCUGGUGUAGGGGUAAAAUC